UACAGAGGUCUCAAGCGUUGUUCGGAUUCAUUGGGCGUAAAGGGUGCGUAGGUGGCGUCGUAAGUCGGGUGUGAAAUCUUGGAGCUUAACUCCGAAACUGCAUUCGAUACUGCCGUGCUUGAGGACUGGAGAGGAGACUGGAAUUUACGGUGUAGCGGUGAAAUGCGUAGAUAUCGUAAGGAAGACCAGUGGCGAAGGCGGGUCUCUGGACAGUUCCUGACGCUGAGGCACGAAGGCCAGGGGAGCAAACGGG
rnacentral:rRNA from 1 species